AACUUUUAUAACACAAGGUCUUGGUCUUAAACCUCUUAUUAUCUAAACUCCCUACUUAUACAUGCAAGCCUCAACAUAACAGUGAAAUAGCCCACUACAGCCACCUAAAGGAGCCGGUAUCAGGCAAAUGCCCACAACACCAAGCAACCUAAGCCACACCCUCACGGGCAAGCAGCAGUAGUUAAUAUUAGGCCAUAAGCGCAAGCUUGACCUAAUAACAGAGUAAUUACUAGGGCCGGCCAAUCUCGUGCCAGCGACCGCGGUUAUACGACAGACCCAAGAUAACACCACCGGCGUAAAGCACGACUAAAACCCAUGAGUUCAACCAUUAAGGUUUAAACUAGGCUGAGCUGUAAAAAGCCACAAGCUACACUAACCAUCAGACCUUAAUACCUAAACAACUUUAACUCGUGAAAGUCAGGACACAAACUAAGAUUAGAUACCUUACUAUGCCUGACCUUAACAAGACAAUUAAAUUACUAAUUGUUCGCCAAAUUACUAUGAGUGAAAACUUAAAAUUUAAAAGACUUGACGGUACUUCAUAACAACCUAGAGGAGCCUGUCUAAUAACCGAUAACCCACGAUUAACCCUACCCCCUCUGGCCCAACAGUCUAUAUACCGCCGUCGCCAGCUUACCUUGUGAAAGAAACAAAGUAAGCCAAAGAAUACCCCAUUAACACGACAGGUCGAGGUGUAACUAAUGAGGAGGAACAAGAUGGGCUACAUUUUCUUAACCAGAAAAAACGAACAGACUAUGAAACUAGAAACUGAAGGAGGAUUUAGCAGUAAGAUAGGAACAUACUACCUAACUGAAACCAACGCAAUGAAGUGCGUACACACCGCCCGUCAUCCCUGCAAAACAUACAACUACACAUAUAUAAAUAAAUGUACUUAAACCAAACAGGGCAAGUCGUAACAUGGUAAGCGUACUGGAAAGUGUGCUUAG
rnacentral:ncRNA from 1 species